UCGGGAAUUUUGUGCAAUGGGCGAAAGCCUGACACAGCAACGCCGCGUGAAGGAUGAAGUCCCUCGGGAUGUAAACUUCGUAAGAAUAGGAAGAAUAAAUGACGGUACUAUUUGUAAGGUCCGGCUAACUACGUGCCAGCAGCCGCGGUAAUACGUAGGGACCAAGCGUUGUUCGGAUUUACUGGGCGUAAAGGGUGCGUAGGCGGCAUAUCAAGUCACUUGUGAAAUCUCCGGGCUUAACUCGGAACUGCCAAGUGAUACUGAUGUGCUAGAGUGCAGAAAGGGCAACUGGAAUUCUUGGUGUAGCGGUGAAAUGCGUAGAUAUCUGGAGGAAUACCGGUGGCGAAGGCGGCAUCCUGGACCAUUACUGACGCUGAGGCGCGAAAGCUAGGGGAGCAAACGGGAUUAGAUACCCACGUAGUCCCUGAGCGGGCUGGCAAGGCGCAU
rnacentral:rRNA from 1 species